rnacentral:rRNA from 1 species
GCCUAAAGCGUCCGUAGCCGGCUUUGUAAGUUUUCGGUUAAAUCCAUAUGCUCAACAUAUGGGCUGCCGGGAAUACUGCACAGCUAGGGAGUGGGAGAGGUAGACGGUACUCCAUAGGAAGGGGUAAAAUCCUUUGAUCUAUGGAAGACCACCAGUGGCGAAGGCGGUCUACCAGAACACGUUCGACGGUGAGGGAUGAAAGCUGGGGGAGCAAACCGGAUUAGAUACCCGGGUAGUCCCAGCUGUAAACUAUGCAAACUCGGUGAUGCAUUGGCUUGUGGCCAAUGCAGUGCCGCAGGGAAGCCGUUAAGUUUGCCGCCUGGGAAGUACGUACGCAAGUAUGAAACUUAAAGGAAUUGGCGGGGGAGCACCACAAGGGGUGAAGCCUGCGGUUCAAUUGGAGUCAACGCCAGAAAUCUUACCUGGGGAGACAGCAGAAUGAAGGUCAAGCUGAAGACUUUACCAGACAAGCUGAGAGGUGGUGCAUGGCCGUCGUCAGCUCGUGCCGUGAGAUGUCCUGUUAAGUCAGGUAACGAGCGAGAUCCCUGCUGCUAGUUGCUACCAUUACUCUCCGGAGUAGUGGGGCGAAUUAGCGGGACCGCCGCAGUUAAUGUGGAGGAAGGAGGGGGCCACGGCAGGUCAGUAUGCCCCGAA